CUUUGAAGAAGCUAUAUUUAGCGCCGACCUUUUAAGUCGGAGAUGGACAACCUUGCCCCUCAAAGA
rnacentral:tRNA from 1 species